AGCGCCAGUCUCCUCUUCUUCCCUAAACCUAUCGUUACCAUUACUUUCUUUCCAAUCCCACCACCACCAACACCACCACAAAUGCAACAUCUAGUUUUCAAAUCUUCAUCGUCGUCGCCGCCUCCGUAUCAAAAACAUAUAAAUCUAGAAAUGGAUUUAUUAUCUUCUUUCUCUUUUUUGAUUUGUAUUUUCCAGAUACAAAUCAAAGUUCAAGCUACGUCGAUUCCUAAAUUGGUGAUGGAGAUUAAAGGUGAUUUAGGAUUAUGAAAUUGGUGAGGGAGAUAGUGGAGGUUCUGGUUGUUGAGGCGGUGGUGGAGAUUUGGUGUAAUUUUGGUUGUUGGGAGAUGGUGGUGGUGGUGAUUUCUUGUGGCUGUGAAAGAAGAAGGGUAUUCAAAUGAUGUUGGCCUUUGUACAUAUUGGGAGGAUAGUGCCCAAAGAUUAUCUGAAGUAUUGACAUGAAUGAGGCCUUUGUACAUAUUGGGAGGAUAGUGCCCAAAGCUUAUCUGAAGUAUUGACAUGAAUGAGUUUCAGAGCUGGUCUUGGUGAAGAUGGAGAUACUCAAAGUUAGUGGCUAAUACAUAGCUUUCCUUGUAGCCACGCUAUGAAAAGGAAGUGUGGUUACUGUGGCAUGCUUACAUAUCAUAAUCUACAAACAUGACAAAGACCCCUAUGGGAUGCUCGUGCACCAACAUUCCCAAGGAGGGCUCAUAUUUCCAACUUGUAUAGGACUAUGUUCAACGUUUAACAUUUCUGAACUUGUUAUCUUUGUUUUGAUAUUUUUAUGAAGGUGGCAUGUUAUAUUUCAUUUUUCAGAUGUUCAAUGUUUUGAUAUGUUUUAAGUUUUUCCUUUUUUUGAACUUGUUAUGUUGCAAAUUUUUCUAAACACUGUUCUUUCA